rnacentral:rRNA from 1 species
UACGUAGGGUGCGAGCGUUGUCCGGAAUUAUUGGGCGUAAAGGGCUCGUAGGCGGUUUGUCGCGUCGGGAGUGAAAACACCGGGCUUAACUCGGUGCUUGCUUUCGAUACGGGCAGACUAGAGGCAUGCAGGGGGAGAACGGAAUUCCUGGUGUAGCGGUGAAAUGCGCAGAUAUCUGGAGGAACACCGGUGGCGAAGGCGGCAUCCUGGACCGGCAUUGGAACGCUGAGGCGCGAAAAGCCAGGGGGAGCAAAGCGGG